rnacentral:tRNA from 1 species
UCCUUAGUAGCUCAAAGGUAGAGCAAUCGGCUGUUAACCGAUUGGUCGUAGGUUCAAAUCCUACCUAGGGAG